AUUCCCUAAAGAAGUGGUGUGUUUGCAGCCGUAGGAAAAGACACCAGCGAGAUAAAGAGUAAUGCAUUUAUAAUCACGCUGAUCCCCACAAGCUGCAAGCAUUGCACUGUUUCAUAAUGCGUCACUGCCAACGGUGUCAGGCCAAUGAACGUUGAUAUGCGUUGAACAGCUCAAGGUAAAAUAAUCGGCAAAAAUAUGUGAGGUUGCCAAUACAGUCCUAGAACUGGAACCCGAUUCCAACUCCCUGACGAUUCUCUGUAAUAUAUUUAUCUCUGCUCCUGAAUCUUCUGACAAAGCAGGAAAUUAUAUUAGAACCAUGUACAACAUCUUGAUGGGAAGCUGAAGGCCAGCAAAGAGUUUAGGCAGAAGAUGUGUGGUUACAGAUUGACUAUUUGGGAUUGAAAGGUGGCUGUGAUGUGAAAGAGUGUGUGUGGAGGAUCAUGGCACACAAUCUCCCAUGAUAUUUCAAAGACCAUGAACUGGAGGGGAAUCAAUGGAAAGGUGCCCUUCUGCCAACUGCAGCUCAACGAUAGAGUUAAUGUUCUACUGUUGGCAAAGUCCUUCAUGAACACUAGAAAGCAUAGAAAGAAACAUCUAAAUAAACCAAUGAUUCUUUAUUCCCCGAUUUUCAUUUUAAGCUGCGGUGAGGAGAAACCGGCUCAGGUCUGAUGCAACUGACAAAGUGGAAAAAGAUGGUUCAAUCUUUCAGGGUAUCGUAAUUGGUGGUCACAAGGAAAGAACACAAAGAAGGAAGUGGUUAGCAAAUAUUUAGAUCCUCUUGGUGGGGUUCUGAUGAAAUACACCGGAGGAUAAAAAAUGGGGGAAACAAGCUCAUAUUUUGAUAUUAAUUAUACCAAGUGAUCAGAUGAUGAUAAUAGUGGUAAAUUUUCAUUACAACGAUGUUGCCAUUAAGCCAGACAUCAUCAAUGUUGCUGUCUUAAAGUCUAGUUUAUGCCACAAUGUUUUCAGUGUUCAGAUGUGACCCUGUUUAUGGCUUGUUUUAAUUUGAAAGGCAUGUUUCUAUAUUGUCUUUACAAGGCUCAUUUGGGCAAAAAUCAUUUGAGAUGUGAGCUUGUUUUAAAACAAUAUGUGUAACAAUGUUACCAAUGUUGCCACUGCAGAACUUUAAUGUUAUGUACAUUACAUUUACAUUUACAUUUAAGUCAUUUAGCAGACGCUCUUAUCCAGAGCGACUUACAAAUUGGUGCAUUCACCUUAUGACAUCCGUAUCAAUGCACUUGUAUGUUAUGGUGUAUGAUUAAGUUAGCAUGCACAAAUUAGAUUUUAGUACAUUACAGUAGGGUGCAAUAGAGAACAGUAUACAUUAUUGUAUUCUAAUGUAAUGUACUUUAUUGUGCUAACUGUACUGUAAUAAAAUACAAUUUCAGUAUUUAAGACCCUAAUCAUAUAAAUGCCAUGUUAUAGAACUGUGAAGACACUUUUUUUGAAACAGCACAAGGUUUUGAGUAACUUUACCGCAGCAGCAGUCUUCCUGAGAUGGAAAUAGUAACAAAGG